UGCCCUAUGGCGCAAUUGGCAGCGCGUCAGACUGUUAUUCGACCACAAUCGGAAAUGGCAUCUGGAGGCUCUGAGUUCGACCCUCAGUGGGGCAG
rnacentral:tRNA from 1 species